GUAUCGCUAACUCCGUGCCAGCAGCCGCGGUAAUACGGAGGAUACGAGCGUUAUCCGGAUUUAUUGGGUUUAAAGGGUGCGCAGGCGGUCUGUCAAGUCAGGGGUGAAAAGCCGAGGCUCAACCUUGGUCUUGCCCUUGAAACUGAGGGACUGGAGAGUACAUGAUGUGGGCGGAAUGCGUAGUGUAGCGGUGAAAUGCAUAGAUAUUACGCAGAACUCCGAUUGCGAAGGCAGCUCACAAAGGUAUGUCUGACGCUGAGGCACGAAAGCGUGGGUAUCGAACAGGAUUAGAUACCCUGGUAGUCCACGCCGUAAACGAUGAUUACUCGAAGUAUGCGAUAUGACAGUAUGCUUCCAAGCGAAAGUGAUAAGUAAUCCACCUGGGAAGUACGCCGGCA
rnacentral:rRNA from 1 species